rfam:Oryctolagus cuniculus chromosome 18, whole genome shotgun sequence.
GGCGCUGUGGCACAGCAGGUUAAAGCUCUGGUCUGAAGCGCCAGCAUCCCAUAUGGGCACAGGUUCAAGACCUGGCUGCUCCA